ACGGGGGGAGCAAGCGUUGUUCGGAUUUACUGGGCGUAAAGGGCGCGUAGGCGGUCUUGCAAGUCCCGUGUGAAAUCCCUCGGCUCAACUGAGGAAUGGCACGGGAAACUGCUUGGCUUGAGUUCGGGAGAGGGAAGCGGAAUUCCGGGUGUAGCGGUGAAAUGCGUAGAUAUCCGGAGGAACACCGGUGGCGAAGGCGGCUUCCUGGACCGACACUGACGCUGAGGCGCGAAAGCUAGGGGAGCAAACGGGA
rnacentral:rRNA from 1 species